UUUGGGAGCAGUCCGCGUCUCGGUGGCCUGUCUCAUCUGAUAGUCUGCUGUUUCUUUUCCCAGAAAUCAACAGCCCUUUCAUCAGGAAAUCUGGAGACGAACACAUCCAAAGCUGGCACCGUGCAAGGUUUAAAGCUGGUUCAAGAACUGCAAAACCCCGGAGACAAGGAGAUAGGCUCCCCGCCACCGGCUCUCAGCACCUUUCUAUCCUGGGAUCCCUGCACCUACAGGGGAGCUGUGGGACCUCCCUACCCAGCCUGACCAAGGACCUCACCCCUGCAUCACCAUAGAACAUCAGUGUUGCUGGAAUAAAAAUAACUUGAACUGAUAACGAUUGCAGAGAAAAGCAAGAAUCUCUGCUAGUCAAGCUGCAGCCAGAGAUCCUUACUGACAUUGUUCCCAG
rnacentral:lncRNA from 1 species